CUUAAAUAUGGAUCAGGUGGGCAGGUGUAGCUUGAAUAUCUCCUUAGCAGAGGGGCUGUUGGUUGCUGUGCUCUCUUCACUCUUAGACCUGACUUGGUAACUCAGAUGAGGAUGUUGGCUGAUGGAAUUCCUCUUUGGGAAGCUCUUCUACUGUGCCUUGGAGCUGCAGAAUAAAGCACUGUGUGUCAGAUGAAUAACUGGGAUUAUUAGAAGCAGAUGAGAAAGCAGGAGCACAUAAACUUUAAUGUAGCCUAUUCUUCUGCACUGGUGUCACUCCAUGAGACUUCUUCUAGAUUUGGGACUUUUUUAAGGCUUUCAAAUGGCUGAGGAUUUGCUGGUUGGAUUUUAUUUGAAAUAUUUUAAAAUGAAUGGGCAACAACUAUUACAAAAAGGAAAUAUCUCUGAGACACUGAUAAAACAGCAGAAUGUAAAUGAGCUGUCCUUUGCACCAUUCAGUGGUUUUAGUAGAGCAAAAAUACAAAAGAUAUAAACUCACAUUGCAGAGGAUGCCUAACCCUUUAUGAUCUUCUCUGUCAUCUGUUCUUAUUUGCUUCUUAUUUUCUUAGAUUCUUCAGCUGCCUAUUCAUAUUUAGAUAGCUCCAUAUCUGGAUCUGAUCUGUGUAAAUAAAAAUCUCCAUCUCUGCUUUC